rnacentral:rRNA from 1 species
UGGGGAAUUUUGGACAAGCGGACGAAGCCUGAUCCAGCAAUGCCGCGUGUGUGAAGAAGGCCUUCGGGUUGUAAAGCACUUUUGUCCGGAAAGAAAUCCUUGGCUCUAAUACAGUCGGGGGAUGACGGUACCGGAAGAAUAAGCACCGGCUAACUACGUGCCAGCAGCCGCGGUAAUACGUAGGGUGCAAGCGUUAAUCGGAAUUACUGGGCGUAAAGCGUGCGCAGGCGGUUUGCUAAGACCGAUGUGAAAUCCCCGGGCUCAACCUGGGAACUGCAUUGGUGACUGGCAGGCUAGAGUAUGGCAGAGGGGGGUAGAAUUCCACGUGUAGCAGUGAAAUGCGUAGAGAUGUGGAGGAAUACCGAUGGCGAAGGCAGCCCCCUGGGCAAGUACUGACGCUCAUGCACGAAAAGCGUGGGGAGCAAAACAGGAUUAGAUACCCUGGUAGUCCACGCCCUAAAACGAUGUCAACUAGUUGUUGGGGAUUCAUUUCCUUAGUAACGUAGCUAACGCGUGAAGUUGACCGCCUGGGGGAGU